rnacentral:rRNA from 1 species
UACGUAGGGGGCAAGCGUUGUCCGGAAUCAUUGGGCGUAAAGCGCGCGUAGGCGGCCAGAUAAGUCCGGUGUGAAAGUCAAAGGCUCAACCUUUGAAUGCCGCUGGAAGCUGUCUGGCUUGAGUCCGGAAGGGGCGAGUGGAAUUCCUGGUGUAGCGGUGAAAUGCGCAGAUAUCAGGAGGAACACCGGUGGCGAAGGCGGGUCUCUGGGAAGUAACUGACGCUGAGAAGCGAAAGCAUGGGUAGCAAACAGG